GUCGAACGCUGGCGGCGUGCUUAACACAUGCAAGUCGAACGAAGUGGCGAACGGGUGAGUAACGCGUAAUCAACCUGCCCUUCAGAGGGGGACAACAGCUGGAAACGACUGCUAAUACCGCAUACUCAAGGAGGGUAUUGAGCCUGAUUAGCUAGUUGGAGGGGUAACGGCCCACCAAGGCGAUGACCAGUAGCCGGGCUGAGAGGAUGAACGGGCAAAUUGGGACUGGGACACGGCCCAGACUCUUACGGGAGGCAGCAGGGGGGAAUCUUGCGCAAUGGACGAAAGUCUGACGGAGCAACGCCGCGUGGGUGAUGACGGCCUUCGGGUUGUAAAGCUCUGUUAAUCGGGACGCGGUACCGGAAUAGAAAGCCACGGCUAACUACGUGCCAGCAGCCGCGGUAAUAC
rnacentral:rRNA from 1 species